AAAAAAGUUUCCUCUUUUAUGUGCUUUUUUUCACACAGUAAUAGUUCUUUGCUCCAGUCUUUAUUCGGAUCUUAAAGCUAAUAUCAUGCAAUGAUGAUAUAUUGAUGUACUUUGGUUUCAAAUACCUUCCCCCAUCACCUCCCACCAUGGGGAGCAAUUUAUGCAUUUCACUAUUUAAAUCUUCAUUUAUACUACUUUUUAUUUUCUUCAGGUUUUGUGAUGAAGGAACCUGUACAGAUAAAGCCAAUAUUCUGUAUGCCUGGGCGAGAAAUGCUCCCCCUACCCGGCUCCCCAAAGGUGUUGGAUUCAGAGUUGGAGGAGAGACUGGAAGUAAAUACUUUGUACUACAGGUACACUAUGGGGAUAUUAGUGCUUUUAGAGGUAAGUUUUGAAGUGUUGGAACUAAGCAAAACUUCUAGUACUAUAUUGUUUAAAAUACAUGCACAAACUAUUAUCUACAUCUUAAAAAGAAUUGCCCACACCCUCUGCCCACUAGGGGAUAACAGCUUUUGUUUCCUUUAAUUUGGAACUGUUGAAGGAAUGACUUUUAUUUUAGAAGUCAUUUCUGUUAUGCACCUGUGCAUCCUACUGUGUUUUCUUUUAUGCUGACUUUAUAGAGCUCUCUUGCCUUCUAGUGUAUUGUUUUAUCAGCCUGCUCUUGCUCUUAUUAGGAGUGCGGAUCAUUCCAAGCAACACUGUUGGAAAGCAUAGGAAGGUACUGGUUGUUUAUAUUUAUGUUGCUCUGAGCAAGCCACCGAGAGUCUAUAGGUUCUGCAAUACCAAAGGGGUUCUCAAACACUCAGGCUCAUGUCGAUUCCUUAUCUAUCCAUACGUGGCACUUCAUGAACUCAUCCAUUGUCCACUGCUGUAAGGCACAGACCCCAGCCACCCUUUAGAUAAUGCUGAACACUCCCCUAGACACCUGUUGCUCUACCAGUGAUCGCUAUGCACUUUAUUUAAAUGCCCCUUUCCUUACUAUAGAUCGUUAGCAUGAGGAAGGGGCCCUGUUCCCAAGGCAACCAAGAUCAAUGCUUGUUACUCCUGCUGCUGCAUUUAGUCAAACUCCAACUGCAUUCGGGUUCACACUCUUGUGUUCACAGGUGUAAAUAUUAAGAUUUCUCCUUGUCUUGUUUGCUUUUCUACUAUGUCUUGCUGACUUAUAUAUAUUCUCCUGAAUUCUCUAAUUUGACAGUAUAUUUCUAAGUAACCUGAUAUGUUUCCCUUUCCAAAUACAUUAGCUAUCUCUCCAGCAACUAAGUUUGGAAGUAGAUGUCCAUCUCUGCCUAUGAAAUACCCUUUAGGACCUUUGCUAAGAGAGCCCCAUGGGGUAGAAAGGACCAUAGAUUGCCAGCAUUCAGAACGAGGACAGUAAAUGCAGUCUCCCUCUGGAAAAGGGUGUUGAAAGAAUGAUUUUAUGUCAUUGAAAAUGUACUAUAAUCAAAUAUAUUAUCAAUUAAUAUAUUUAUUAAUACACUAAUAAAUAUAUAUAAAUUAAUAUAUAUAUAAAUGGACCAGCCUAUGAACCUAACUUAGAAAUAAAAUUUAUUUUUAGAUUAAAAAUAUGCUUUGAGUUAUACACAAAUAACUUUUCAUUUUUUGGAAUAGAACAUAAUCUUAAACUGUUAACUCUCUAUAGUGCUGAGAGAAGGUUUUGCUGAAAACAAAGAAAUAAAUAAUAUUUGUGUUUGGGGAACAAAGACAGAGAUUAUCUGCUCUAAAAAUUGACCAUGCUGGUUUCAGUAGAACAGACAGAUUGUGAGACUGCUGACUUCCAAAGUAUUGACAAAGCUUUAAUUUCCUCAAAAAAGGCAAGCAGACCUUUCCAGAUCACCACAACUAAAGUAGCUCAUCAUACUGGCGCAGGUUCCCGCAAACCCUAAUCUCUACCCUCUAUAAAACCCUGUACUUCACUUUUCAAUCUAAUUCCCCUCAGCGUUGUAAGGACCCCUAACAGAUACUGCAUUGAUACUCCAGAGAAAACACAUGAUAUAUGCUUGUUUUUAAAAAUAUGUUACUGUAAUAAUUUCUUAUAAGGAGUUAAUUUUGUUUUAUAAUUUAUGUUUAAUCUAGGGAUAGUAAAAGUACUGAUAUUUUAAUAUGUAAACAUAUAAUUAUUCUUUGCUGUAAGAGACAGAUAAGAAAUUUUAACUUUUCAAUAGUAGUUUUUUAUUUUCUCUUAAAAACAAGUUUUUCUAAAAGAUAUAUGGGGUAGAAAGAUUACUAGUGCUAUAAUUCAUAUAACUUAUUGUAAUAUUAUUAAAA
rnacentral:lncRNA from 1 species